GCAGGGGUAGCUCAGCCAGGUGGAGCAUCCGGCUGUUAACCGGAGGGUCCCGGGUUCAAAUCCCGGCCCCGGCGCCA
rnacentral:tRNA from 1 species